UCUCUCUCUCUCUCUCUCUCUCUCUCUCUCUUCCUAAGAUUUCCAAACUUAGCAUAAUCAACAUUGCAAUGAUAGUCGGUUUGGGUUUAAGGUUUUCUUUAUACCUAAGUCGAUGGCCAAAAGUGACUAGAGGUGGCCGGAUUUUAAGGUUUCCAGACCAGAAAACCCUUGAUUUCUCCGAUGUCGGUUUUGGUUUUCCGGCGAUGUAUGGGGCCGGAUCUUUGGCGGAAAAGAUAGAAGAGAGGUUGGGGAAACUUUUUCAUGAAGGGACUCCGACCAAAGGUGGCAGGAUAUGGUCGUACAGAACUGAGAAAGUUCGGCACCAACAAGAGGAGGAUGUGAGGAGUAAUUUUCGUGAAGGUUACGGCGGCAACGGAGGUUGGACGAUGCCGAAAAAUGGGUUGGAAGUGGCGGCGCCAUUGUUCACACAUGAGAGAGAGAGAGAGAGCUAACUGAGGUUUUAAAAUUUCACUUUGCAAAAAUUACGGUUGUGCCAUUAUACUUCCGUAAACUAUAACUUCUUCGAUUUGAGUUGGAAUUGAGUCUGCCGCCUAUCUACAAA